rnacentral:rRNA from 1 species
ACAAGCGGUGGAGCAUGUGGUUAAUUCGAAGCAACGCGAAGAACCUUACCAGGUCUUGACAUCCCGAUGCUAUUUCUAGAGAUAGAAAGUUACUUCGGUACAUCGGUGACAGGUGGUGCAUGGUUGUCGUCAGCUCGUGUCGUGAGAUGUUGGGUUAAGUCCCGCAACGAGCGCAACCCCUAUUGUUAGUUGCCAUCAUUCAGUUGGGCACUCUAGCGAGACUGCCGGUAAUAAACCGGAGGAAGUGGGGAUGACGUCAAAUCAUCAUGCCCCUUAUGACCUGGGCUACACACGUGCUACAAUGGUUGGUACAACGAGUUGCGAGUCGGUGACGGCGAGCUAAUCUCUUAAAGCCAAUCUCAGUUCGGAUUGUAGGCUGCAACUCGCCUACAUGAAGUCGGAAUCGCUAGUAAUCGCGGAUCAGCACGCCGCGGCGAAUACGUUCCCGGGCCUU